UACGGAGGAUGCGAGCGUUAUCCGGAUUUAUUGGGUUUAAAGGGAGCGCAGACGGGAGGUUAAGUCAGUUGUGAAAGUUUGCGGCUCAACCGUAAAAUUGCAGUUGAUACUGGUUUCCUUGAGUGCAGUUGAGGCAGGCGGAAUUCGUGGUGUAGCGGUGAAAUGCUUAGAUAUCACGAAGAACCCCGAUUGCGAAGGCAGCUUGCUAAACUGUAACUGACGUUCAUGCUCGAAAGUGUGGGUAUCAAACAGG
rnacentral:rRNA from 1 species